GUCUGAGCCUCAGUUUUGGCGUUUUCAUGGGUCUUAAUUAUGAAUGAAAUUCGGCACUUUGAAGUCAAACUCGGGAAGAAGCAGAAACAGAAUUGAAUGAGCUGAUAAUUAGAAUAACACAGGAAAAACAUAUUCCGAGAAUACAUUAUUACAGUACAGGCCCAUUGAUGCAGGAAGUGAGUGGAUAGUACAUGUAAUACCCUCAGGGAGCCAG